AGUGAACGCUGGCGGUAGGCCUAACACAUGCAAGUCGAACGGCAGCACAGUAAGAGCUUGCUCUUACGGGUGGCGAGUGGCGGACGGGUGAGGAAUACAUCGGAAUCUACUUUUUCGUGGGGGAUAACGUAGGGAAACUUACGCUAAUACCGCAUACGACCUACGGGUGAAAGCAGGGGGUCUUCGGACCUUGCGCGAUUGAAUGAGCCGAUGUCGGAUUAGCUAGUUGGCGGGGUAAAGGCCCACCAAGGCGACGAUCCGUAGCUGGUCUGAGAGGAUGAUCAGCCACACUGGAACUGAGACACGGUCCAGACUCCUACGGGAGGCGGCAGUGGGGAAUAUUGGACAAUGGGCGCAAGCCUGAUCCAGCCAUACCGCGUGGGUGAAGAAGGCCUUCGGGUUGUAAAGCCCUUUUGUUGGGAAAGAAAAGCAGCAGGUUAAUACCCCGCUGUUCUGACGGUACCCAAAGAAUAAGCACCGGCUAACUUCGUG
rnacentral:rRNA from 1 species